rnacentral:rRNA from 1 species
UACGGAGGGUGCAAGCGUUAUCCGGAUUCACUGGGCUUAAAGGGUGCGUAGGUGGGCUGGUAAGUCAGUGGUGAAAUCUCCAGGCUUAACUUGGAAACUGCCAUUGAUACUAUCAGUCUUGAAUACCGUGGAGGUCAGCGGAAUAUGUCAUGUAGCGGUGAAAUGCUUAGAUAUGACAUAGAACACCAAUGGCGAAGGCAGCUGGCUACACGAAUAUUGACACUGAUGCACGAAAGCGUGGGGAUCAAACAGG